rnacentral:rRNA from 1 species
AGAGUUUGAUCAUGGCUCAGGACGAACGCUGGCGGCGUGCUUAACACAUGCAAGUCAAGGACCGUAGCAAUACGGAACUGGCGCACGGGUGCGGAACACGUAGGCAAUCUGCCCUCCAAGGGAGAACAACCAGCCGAAAGGUUGGCUAAAUCUCCGUAAAAUCAUAGAGUGGCAUCACUUAUUGAUCAAGUUUUUUGGGGGAUGAGCCUGCGUCUGAUUAGAUAGUUGGCGGUGUAACGGACCACCAAGUCUGCGAUCAGUAGCUGGUCUGAGAGGAUGAUCAGCCACAUUGGGACUGAGAUACGGCCCAGACUCCUACGGGAGGCAGCAGUGAGGAAUAUUGCUCAAUGGGGGAAACCCUGAAGCAGCAACGCCGCGUAAAGGAUGAAGGCGCUUUGCGUUGUAAACUUUUGUAGUCGGGGACAAACCGGGAGUUACUACUCCCCUGAUGGUACCCGAAAAGUAAGGAUCGGCUAACUACGUGCCAGCAGCCGCGGUAAUACGUAGGAUCCGAGCGUUGUCCGGAUUUACUGGGUGUAAAGGGUGCGCAGGCGGACUGGUAAGUCAGUGGUGAAAUCUCGUCGCUUAACGACGAAACUGCCUUUGAUACUAUCAGUCUUGAAUCCGGUAGAGAUCUGUGGAAUUCCGAGUGUAGCAGUGAAAUGUGUAGAUAUUCGGAAGAACACCAGUGGCGAAGGCAGCAGAUUGGGCCGGUAUUGACGCUCAGGCACGAAAGCAUGGGGAUCAAACAGGAUUAGAUACCCUAGUAGUCC